CCUACGGGUGGCCGCAGUGAGGAAUAUUGGUCAAUGGCCGUAAGGCUGAACCAGCCAAGUAGCGUGAGGGAAGACUGCCCUAUGGGUUGUAAACCUCUUUUAUGCGGGGAUAAAGGUGUCCACGUGUGGAUGUUUGCAUGUACCGCAUGAAUAAGGACCGGCUAAUUCCGUGCCAGCAGCCGCGGUAAUACGGAAGGUCCGGGCGUUAUCCGGAUUUAUUGGGUUUAAAGGGUGCGUAGGCGGAAGGUUAAGUCAGCGGUAAAAUGUCGGUGCUCAACACCGUCCUGCCGUUGAAACUGGUCUUCUUGAGUGAGCGAGAAGUAUGCGGAAGGCGUGGUGGAGCGGUGAAAUGCAUAGAUAUCACGCAGAACUCCGAUUGCGAAGGCAGCAUACCGGCGCUCAACUGACGCUGAGGCACGAAAGCGUGGGGAUCGAACAGGAUUAGAUACCCCAGUAGUC
rnacentral:rRNA from 1 species